AUGCCCCUCCCUGGAGGCACAGCCAGAUCUGCAUCAAAGCCCUCCCAGGACAGGACCCAUCCUGCUGGCAAUGGGACAAAGAGGCAUCUGAGUGAUGAGUGUCUAGGAAGCCGUGAGCCCCCAGAGCCAGCAUCCUCAUCACUGGAUCCAGUACCUUGUUGGCCCAGUGGGUGCUGGGUGUACAUCAGGGAAGGGGAAAGAGUGAGGGGGAGUGGUUUUUCGGGCAACAUUAUUCCCACAGUAGUGACUAUGGUUGUUUACCAGGAGCAAUCUAUUUUUUUCAGAAGCUCUGGAAGCCAGCUUUGCAAGCUUCAAAUAUCAUUAUGUAAUUUCUCGUCUGUAGUCAAUCAGAGUCUGGUUUAAAGUCCCAAACCAUCCCAGUGACCUUGCUCAGUGCCAUCCUAUUCCAGAAUUGAUGGGUGACCCUCAUGAAUAUACAACUGCCAUCUUUCCAUCUCACUCAUCAAAAGAACCACCACAAUAACCUCUCACAAGCCUGAGAUAUUUACGUGGAUCACUAAUCAACUAGAAUGGUCUGUAUAUUUGCCACCACAAUCCUAUCAAGUAGGAAUUUACAUUAUAUCCCUCCUCUCUUUUGUGGUAUUGGGGAUGGAACCCAAGGCUGCUCUACCACUGAGCUACAUCUCUGGCCCUUUUUAUUUAUUUUUAAAAUUUUGAGAUAGGCCCUUGAUAAGUUGCCUGGUGGGACUGAAACUUGUGAUUCCCCUGCCUCAGCCUUAGAUUACCUCCAUUUUAUAGAUGAGAAAGCCAAGCAUGAGGAAGUUCGGAAAUUUCCUGGCAAUGUUGCAGCUGGGCUGUGGUUCCCCAAAGCCUACUGUAGCAGGGGUCUCCGAGCCCACGCUCCUAACCACUGUGCCGAAGAGCCUCCUCAUGGGUAGAAACGCCUGGCUUCAUGGGACAGCCUCUGCCCCAAGCCCUCCUUCCACACAUUCAGGGCCUUCCUCCCAUUCGCAGCCCUGCUGCAUUUCCCACUUGUGGUGGAAGUGCUCAGUCCCUGCUGGCUGGGGUUAAUUAUUCUAAAAAGACAUUUGGAAACUCAGCUCUGCUGGGUCUAGUGUGUUCCCUUUGGUUAAUUUAAUAAUCCUGUUUUCAAAAAUGAGUACGAUUUUCAAACUUGUUCACUGCAGUGAUUACUCUGCAGAUAUUUCCCCAUCCUUCUUUUCUUUGAACCCAGCUCUGUGAAUUUUGCAGCUGAGAGCCAUGAUUGAUGGUCAGGCUGUCUGUUCACCAAGACAGGGUCUUAGCUUUCUGUGUGCCCAGGCUCAGCAGUCAGGCAGGGUGUAGAAGGCCAAUGUGAAAUCCUGAGAAAUCUAACCCACCAGAUCAGUGUAAGAGGCAGCUUGGGCUCUGUUGGUGCAAUUGGGUUACCAAAUGCUAAGAGUGACCCUGUCUAAGUGGUGGAUUCCCCCAUUCCUCCUCCCUAGCACUGAGGAUGAAACCCAAGGAUGCUGCACCUCUAAGGUAUAUACCAGCCCUUUUAAUUUUUUUUUGUUUUGAAAUAGUCACUAAGUCCCUCAGGUUGGCCUCCUGCUCAGCCUUUGAGUAUUAGGGCUAUAGUAGAUUACUCUACCAUGCCCAGCUAGGGUGGUGGAUUUUAGGAGAAUUUUUAGUCUCUUCUUUAUAUUUAUCUUGUUUUAUUUUUUAUAUUGUUUUAUUUAUAUAUAUCUUGUCAUUUUUAAUUUACGAAAGUAUAUACAAAAGUAUAUAUAUAAUUUUAAUAAUAAAAUAAAAAGAAAAUUUUGUCAUUAAAAACCAAGUUCAUUCAAUAAGGGGAAUCCAGUUCUUCAAGCAAAGCCUCAGGCAAGUCUGGCUUUAUGAACUUGUUAUAUGAACGUUUAUGAAUUAAUUAAAGCCACUCACAAAAAGACUCCUCAGAAAAUGAGUAGAACUCUAUGCAAAAAAAGAGGAAAAAUGAUUACAUUCAUAAAAUUAUUUUAUGUAUUAAAAAUGGAAUAGAAAUUGAGUUUUAAAAAAAUAUUAACUUAUUGAUUUGUUAAAUCUUAGAUAUCAUCUUUGUUUACCUUUGGGUAUGACUUGACUUAAAUUUGUAAGCAGACUAUAGGGUGGAUUUGUGGUUUUUUUGUUUUUUUUUUGGUACCGGGGAUCAAACUUGGGACUUUGCACUUGCAAGGCAGGCACCAGAACCACUGAGCUAAAUCCCUGGCCCAGGACGGAUUUGUUUUUAAAUGUCUCCAUUCAACAAAUGUGCAUGGAGCUUUGCCCUAUGCCAGGCAGUGUACCAAGCUUGUGGGAUUCAGAAAGGAAGGAGGAUAGGAACUCAGGCUUGAGCAGCUCCUAGUGAGAGGGAGACCAUUGUACAGAGUCACACAGUUUGACAAGUGCUUUGUGAGGGCACUGGGAAACCCAGCAGGGACACACUUUGGCUCUGCUUAAGAAAGUCAAGGAAGGCUUCACAGAGGAGGUGACUGGCAUUUAGAAGAGGAUUUAACAGGUGGAGAAGGUAGGGAAGACACUGCAGCAAAGAAAGAUGUGCAAUUCCCUGGGAGGGGGUGCCAUGAAGAGCUCGAACUGUGCUCACCAAAGAGCAAGUUGCUGGCUAUGACUAUAGGGGUACAUAAUGUGUCUAUGACACACGCAUAGAGCUCACUGGAUGGUGAAGAGCCGUGAAGGAUGGGAUAAGGGCUCGAUGUGGUUGGAGAUGGGAAGCUAUUGAAGGUUUUAUAUUUUCUGCUCUUAAAAUUCUUAGAUAUCUAACUUUUUUUUUUUUGGUACCAGGGAUCGAACUCAGGACCUUGUGCUUGUGAGGCAGGUGGCGGAACCACAUACUGUAUAACUUUUAAAAAGCUUUGUUUAGCUUGCAGUUCUGGAGGCCCAGGAGCAGAGUGCUGGCUUCAGCUCAGCUGACUUGAAUAUGUGCUCAGACUUAUACAGAUUUCAAACAAAUUUUAAAGAUAAAAACUGCAUGUGGGGAGGGGGAUUACAUCUGCUGUUUCUCAAGAAUUUAGAGUGGUGCAGGUGGGGUAGCAAGCUCUUGUAAGAAAGGGAUUGGGUAACUUAGAGGAUAUUUAUAAAGGAAUUCUAAGAUAGGAAGGGAAGGACAAGAGUAAAACAAUUCUCAGGAAAGGAAGGGAGUUGGGUGAGGUGACCUUGGUGACUCUCUAUAGGAUUAAAAUGAUCUGCCUUAAAACUAUAGUCUUCACCACAUAAACUCCAGGAUGUAGUGAGUUUGGGCUUGGUGAGGUUUCAAAAUAUGCUGGGAGAAGAAUGUACAUCUGCACAGGGUCAAAAUUUCCUUGAGGUGGACAUGACAAGUAAUAGGUCCAUCAUGUAUUCUCAACCUAAUAUUUUGGAGUUGUUUCAAUCUGCUUUGUCCUUUGAUUUUACUUUUUUACCCAUAGGUACAGUCUGAUCUUUCUCCUAAGUGGUCAAACCAUUUCACAUUCCCACAAUCCAGUUAGGAGAGGACCAAUAGCUCCAUAUCCUUGCCAACACGUAGUCUCGUCAGUUGUUUUGUUUUUUCAGUACUGGGGGUUGUCUUGAGCCUUUCACACUACGCUACAUUCCCACCCCUUAUUUUACUUAUUUAUUUAUUAUUUUA
rnacentral:lncRNA from 1 species